CCGGAGAGAUCUACUUUUUACCUUAGUGUCUUGACUAAUUCUUUUGUUUGUUGCAUCCCUUCUGGGGGUAAAAUUUUUUGUGUCUCACCCCUCAGCCCUUUUGCCUAAAAAUGCAUACGUGAUUAACUAACUGCCCCUUGAGGAGUUUUUCAGUGUUAGAAGUUUCUAAACUCUUUGUCAUCAGAUUUUGAUCUGUUCUAUUUUUCAUAGCUACAUUAUUAAGUGAAAAUAAUAUCUUUAAAGUACUUAAGGUGCCCAAGAAAGCUGUCCCACAGGAAAAAAAGCCUGUUGCUGAACCCAAAAAGCACGAAUUAUUACCAGGCAAAGUGCCCAAGGUGCCCAAGAAAGUUGCUCUGGAAGAGCCCACGCCCGUAGCUGUGCCAAAAAAGCCAGAACCAGCACCAGCCCAAGCACCUGAAGUGCCCAGGAAGGCUACUAGAGAAGAAAAAGUACCUGUGGUCACUGCCAAAGCACCUGAGCUUCCAGCAGCCAGAGUGCCUGUGAUGCCGGAGGUGGAGGUCCCAGAAGAGGAAGAGGAGGGAGGAAGCACCAGAGAGGCAGUACCUGCUGCAGAGCUUGAAGAGCCAGAAGCUGCUCCAGCUGAAGUGCUGAGGUUGUUGAGGA